ensembl:lncRNA novel transcript, antisense to AP3M2
AAAGGGCUGGGGCGGUCGCCGCGCUCGCGUGUUUGCGGAGUGCGCCUGGAGGGGGCGCUGGAGUAUGUGUGUGCCGGGGCGGGGUGGCUUCCGGGCACGAGUUGCUGACAGCGCCUCGCGGUUGAUAAAUCCUGAGGGCGGCGGCUACCCUGCACUCCAUCGGUGCCUUUGGGAAGCGCCGCCUUCUCUGUUGUACCCGGCCGUGGGUCAGGUCGGCGCGGCUGGCGGUGGAGUCUCGGACACCGAGCCCUGGACCCCGACUCUGGAAGCCCCCAGCCCCACUGGGCCGCGGCAGGGCGCCCACCCUCCACAAUCUCAGUUCCCAGCCGGGGAGUGAGGGGCUGGGCGGGUCUCUCCACCGCUUUGGAGACCUCAGGACUUGGAUACGCUUUUGAGUGGUCCCAGUCGUCCUGAUCCACGAAGGCGUGGAGUGGAAGUCAGGACCAGGGGUCGCCCCAGUGACGCAGGAAGUCAAGCCCAGAUGCGGUGAGGCGUCGCCAGCCUUGGACCCAGCAGUGGGCGCUGGUGACAGUGGCGACCUCGCCGAUGAGAGGUUCGCCCUCCCUAGCAUUAGUUGUCACUUUGGUGAAAUGGAGCGUGGGUGGCAGCUCCUCCACACACAAGCCCUUUGCUGAGGUGGUGCGGGGGGUUCUCUCCACGCUUGCUAAGGGCAGGUAGUUGGCUGACUUUGAACUAUGAAGAAAAGCCAGAAACAAAAUGGCAGAAUGGUAUGACUCUGGGUGGGCUUAGGGACGCUGGUGCCAGAGGACUUGGCUUGAACCCGCUCCAACACUUACAACCUGAGUGACCGUGAGAAAGAACUGUAACUCCUCUAAACUUCAAGUUCCUCACUUCUCAAAUAAGAACGUGAAUAGUACCUCCCUCCUAGAGUUGUGAGGAUUGAGUUAGAAAAUGCUAGCAAUUGUUAUGCCCUAAGGAACAGCACAAGAUACAAUAACACGUGAUAAUGUGUGUCGAAGGUGCAGAAAUGC